AGUUAGGAAAUGUAAGUUUGAGAAUACCAAAUUUACUUGACAAAAGCUCCAAAGGAAGCCACGGCUAACUCUGUGCCAGCAGCCGCGGUAAUACAGAGGUGGCGAGCGUUGUUCGGAAUUAUUGGGCGUAAAGAGCACGUAGGUGGAUUUGUAAGUCAGAUGUGAAAGCCUUCUGUUCAACGGAAGAAUUGCAUCUGAAACUACAAACCUUGAGUAUAGGAGGGGAGAGUGGAACUUCUGGU
rnacentral:rRNA from 1 species